GGGGAUGACCGGUUUUGACAGCGCGUAGAGGUGGUGAGCAAGCAUGCAGAGCAAUAAUGCCUACGCUCUAUAAUAUGGGACAUUGCAAUUUUAAAUGGCGAAAACAACUACGCUCUUGCUGCCUGAUCGAAGUACAGUAGAUCACGCUUAAUCUCCGCAACAGUUGCAGAGACAAGACAUCGCCCAAUCGCCCACUUCCCGAGGCGGAUUGACAAGGCGGUGCAGUUAAAUCGGGGAUAGGAGGCCGAAAGCCGCGCGAAGCCUCCGAAAUUUCAGCGGAUAAGGGUCGGCAUUGGCUGUUUCAGGCCUGUGUCACCACGAAAACCAAUCUGAAACUAAGCAUGUAGAAAACUCAUUAGUUCCGCGUUUGGACGAGGGUUCAAGUCCCUCCAUCUCCAC
rnacentral:tmRNA from 1 species